rnacentral:rRNA from 1 species
UGGGGAAUAUUGCACAAUGGGGGAAACCCUGAUGCAGCGACGCCGCGUGAACGAAGAAGGUAUUCGUAUCGUAAAGUUCUGUCCUAUGGGAAGAUAAUGACAGUACCAUAGAAGAAAGCUCCGGCUAAAUACGUGCCAGCAGCCGCGGUAAUACGUAUGGAGCGAGCGUUGUCCGGUAUUAUUGGGCGUAAAGGGUACGCAGGCGGUUUAAUAAGUCGAAUGUUAAAGAUCGGGGCUCAACCCCGUAAAGCAUUGGAAACUGAUAAACUUGAGUAGUGGAGAGGAGAGUGGAAUUCCUAGUGUAGUGGUGAAAUACGUAGAUAUUAGGAGGAGUACCAGUAGCGAAGGCGACUUUCUGGACACAAACUGACGCUGAGGUACGAAAGCGUGGGGAGCAAACAGG